rnacentral:lncRNA from 1 species
ACGCAGCAGCAUGGGUUAAAUCUCUCAGGGAUGUCCUGUUGUGUGUCACCUCAUGUCACACUUUUGCCAUCAGCAGACAGGACAAGGUCCCGGCGGGCUGUGUCUGUAUCCAGAACCAUGUUCACUGCAGGUGAGAUGGAACCAACACAUCAGGGCAGAGCUCACCUCAGGGGAGCUCUUGGCUGGGGCUGCCUCAGGAAGAAGCAGGGUGGGAGUGAGAGCUGGCAGACGUGGCAGGGGAAGGUGCACAAGUUCACAAUGUUGGUGCAAGAAAAAGAAGCAGAGAGAGAAGAGGAUUGUCAGCAGACCUUCAGGCUGAAGAUCGUAGAUAUGUGAAAUGUGAGGACACAGUUCACUGAGGACCAGGACUGCCCAGAUUUGCCUGUAUGAAACUGAGGCAUGCACCAAAUGAACAAGGAGUUUGGCUGUUAUGCUUCUCUCCUAAUAGGAGGGUUGGCAGAACCACCCCAGGUCCCACCAGCAACACUGCAGUAGGGGAACUGCCAGGAAGGGAGAAUAAAGCAGGAGAAAUGGUUCAGCACCCUGAAAGAUCAAACUGUAAUUACCUUCUCCUAUAGGCACUGUGUAUCUUCUCUAUGCUUUAAAAAAAAAAAAAAAAAACAACGAAAACACCCACAGGUGAGAGAUAAUCAAACACACUUGUACUGAAUUAGCUCAGGGUAAUGAUAUGCCAGUGUUGCUGCCCAUUUUCUGAGUUGUUAUCUCUGUUAAAAUCAUCUCACAGUGUGUUGCUUCAAAACUUCAGUGUGUGAUUACGUGAAAGGGCUCCAUCCAUUUUCUACAAAUACAACCACGCUGCCGGUCCUGGUUCAGAUGUAUGUUUAUUGUCAGUUUGUACUUUGAAAACUGAAGGAAUUUUCUUCUCAGCAUAGAAUAAUUACAGGGAAUAGCAUAAAGCCACACAGAGACCAAUGGAAAAUAACGUUUCUGAAACAAGUACAUCACUUCCUUGCAUUUUCUUCCUAUUCCAAACCACAACAGUAUCCAAACCAUUUCCAUCCCAAAUGUCCCCCAGAAAUAGAACCCAUGAAUGCUUCCACUUGAAGAUUUCUCCAAUUUCUAGAAAAUUAAAAGUAAAAUUUACCUAUUUUUUUCUGAUGCUUUCCCAUGAAGAAAAGAAAGAAAUGCAAAUAAUUUAAAAAAACAACCCUUGCAGCAAGCACUGAUUAACCCCCAGCAGGUUACAAUCACCCACAUGGCAGAAGGGCUGCGGGGUCUGGAUAUGCCUCAAAGCAUGUGCUGCUGCAGUGCAUUUUGGUGUAUGCUUAGUCCAGUUCACCACUGCAUCUCUGCUCUACUUCCAGCCCCAAAUCAAUCAUCCAGUGAAAAAUAAGCUUUCCUGUGACACAAGGGAAAACAAAAAAUACAUUAAAUAUCUGCAGGUGCUAAAAUGAGACAUAAGGAUUUCUUUCUCAUACUAAACAUGUAGGGACAGGAUUUCACAGAUGUGGUGGUUUGGCUGUUUCUCUUCCUGACAAUAACAAACUUUGACACAGGCAAAUCAAAGGGUUUUUUCAGACAAGUAUCACCUGGAGUCAGGACAUUUCUUGCAAUCUCAUUUGCAUAACUCGAGAUCUGCACUGGAGGCCAGAUGUGAGGCAAAAUAAUCCACAGGCCAAUAUAUUAAAACAUAAAUCCACAAACUACAACAUUCUUCUUUUAUUACCCAAUGCCUAAUUUUUUUCUUAUGCCUUCUUAUGUGAAGAAAACAAUAUAAAGAACACUUCUGAAGGAGGAAGUGUAUCUCCUUAUGGCCACUUGGUGAGUAAUUUCACCUCUCUGAGACAAUCUUGGUAUUUUCAAACAUGGGACUUAAGAAAACCCUACUUCCCAAGCAGCCACCUCAAACUGCUUCUGGGCAGGAGGACAGGGAAAAAUGCACUGGCUGCAAGCAAGUAAAUUAGAGGUAACAUGAACUAAAUUAGGGACACGAAUUACAGAUCUGUCACCUUGGACUCUACUGCAGCCUUCAUGUAAUCUAAGCCAUGUUGAAUAAAACAGGUGUCAUCUCCCCAGUAGGAGAGUUGGACAUGGAACAUCUUCAAGUGUGUGCUGCCCUGGGCAGGUCCAUCCUUCAGCAGCUCAGUGUGCCCUCAGUAUUGAAGCAUCUGGUCCCCAUACUGGUCCUGUCUCCCCUUGUAGCGACGCACAAAGGGUGAGAGCUGCUCCCAAAACCAGGUCACCUCCAUGUCCUGUGCAUGCUGUUCUGGGGAGAAGCAGCUGGGCAGGGAUGGGGUUGGGGUGUCCCCUCACGUUGAGCAGAGCCUGGAGAAACACCUGGAGGAAGGAGAGAGAGCUGUGAGUUUGCCAUGGCACCUGAGCUCAGGCACAGCAGGUGCUGCUCACCACUGUUUGUGUGCUGCUAGGCAAGGUGUUGGGGUCAUUUUGUGAUGGUACUUUAUUCCCUAAUCAUCUGCUUUAUGCCCAGAAAUAUCUGUGGUAUCUUUAAAAUGAACCAGAGGGAAGGGCAAGAGCCUGGCAUGGGCUCUGUUCAAGCUCUCUCUUUCUGGCAUGGUCGGCAGCUACAGGAACUGUUGUUUCAUUGCUUUUGCUGGAUUAAUUUUUGCCCAUUUAGGCAAGAAGCUUCUGGGUGGGGUUUUUUGGUUUUGUUUGGUUUUGGUUUGGGGUUUGUUUGUUUUGUGUUUGUUUUUGUUUUUUUUCUUCCCCUGGCCUGGAGGCUUUUCACCAGCAAAUCCUUUUGGAAGCUUUUUGGUUUUUUCUUUCCUUGAACUGUUUUGGUCUGUUUUUUUCUUCAGCCAGAGGAGCCCGCAGGCGUGGCCCUGGCCAGUCCAAACCCCAGAAAGACCAGCAAAAGAAGGGACAAUAACGUCCACCAACUUCACCUGCUGUGAGGAGAAGACCCAUGUCAGAAAUCCAACAAGUUCCCAGGCUGCUUCACAAACUCUUUUCUCCCCCUUCCCAGAGAAAAAUAAGGGCAGCUGCCAUCUUUUCCUCUCAGCAAGGUGGGGAUGGGGUGAAAGGUUCAAUUUUCUUUCUUUUCCUGUGCUUUGUGGGUAUCUUGCUUUGUUAAUAAACAGUUUUACAUUUUUUUCAUUUUCAUCCCGAUAUCCAUUUCUGUCAUUGUAAGGAGAAAAAGGAGUUAUUGAAGCCCUUUCCCUCUAGAGGACACGCUCAUUCUAGUAUGUUUCCUCCUGAAAUUUGUCUCCAAAUUUGAGAUACUAGGUCAUCAUGCUGGCAGCGUCCCCCUGCCAGGCACAAGAGGUACUGAGGGGAGCUGGGAGAGGGACCCUGCCCUGCAGCAUGGGCAGUGGGCUGGGGUCAGGCCACCACCCUUCCCUCUGCUUCCUUGUCCUGCGCUGCCAGGAGAGUUCCUCAAACCCCUGGUUCUCAAGGGCACAAGUGGUGCCCAUGCAGCUCAGGGCAGGCAGAAAGCAGGACAAGGAAUGAUGGAAGUGGCUGGGAGGUUUCUGUGGCUGGAGCAAGUGACAAAAGCCAGGGACCUCAUUAAAUCGGGGGAGCUGGCCAGACAGAACGCACAGCCAGCCAAUAUGAUUAAUGCAACGUUCUCCAUCUAUUUGAGAGAAGAUGGCAGUUUUUAUACACUUCUAUAUAGUUUACAGGUUACAAAGGCACUCUGAUUGGCACACUAACAUUGUUUACCUUUGCCUUAAGGUGGUCAGGCUUUUCACCCUGCAGCUCUACCCUAAUUCACACUCGGAUAGCUGAUUACUUUGUAGUUACCUUAACAUAAUUUCUAACUGUGCCACAACUGAAUUCUCACUGCAUCAAAGGCUUCGAGACCCCAUCAAGGCUGCCCAUCAGGGCCUAGUCUGAGUGGGUAGCUCAAGUCUCACUCCAGACAUAAAUCAUGCUCUCUGUCACUCAGAAAUUCUGUAACAAGUGACAACUUGGCUACAAAUAAAAUUCAAAUAUCCUUAUCUCUUCUCAUCCUUUACAAAUAUCUAUUAAAAAAGUAGAAACAUCUCAGGUACUCUCAGCAUCUUUGAAAAUUUAAAAGAAAAAGGCUUAUAAUAAACUGGCCACUCAGCUCACUGAGAAAGUGGUUCUGGUUGAAGGGAAACAAAAGCAAAUUAACAUUUUUUACAAGAUCCCUUUUGAGUUAAGUGCUCUGCUGCAUCCUUUGCCAGGGCUGCCUUGAAGAAGCUGCUUCAGGUCAGCAACAUAAAAGAGCCUAGGCUAAAUUUGUUGUUGAUAGCUUUUUUCCUUUAUUGAUCUGGUUUUCCAAAAGGUCCAACACACCCUGGACACUGUGCAAUAAACAGGAAUGUGCAGGAAACAGGAAAACCAGGGCAGCAAAUUAUAAUCAAUUCUCCAGCAUCAUCUAAUCCUCACCCAGAUUCAGUGAGGUUGUUCCAAUGCCUGUGCUGCCAUGGCCAGAGGGAUGCACCAAGAUCCAGAGGGAUGCUGGUGCUCCCAGAAGGGGAGAAAGUUUAUGGAAAGCGCCUGACCCUGCUCCGAGCUUUGCUGUUCACAGGGGGUUGCUGCACUGGCAGCCAGGAAGAUACUCAGGCUGGAAGGUGUGUCAGCAGGAUUCAGGGGAUUCUUACCUAGUGCUGCUCAUGAACUUGGAAAACCAUAAAUGACAAAAGCCAGCAGAGAGUAGUGGAGCUGGGAACAGGAGAAGCACCUGGAGAUCAGGAAGGAGAGGGAAAGGGCAAAAAGGAGGAAAACCAAGGGAAGACAAAAAAAAAAAAA